rnacentral:rRNA from 1 species
AUUGAACGCUGGCGGCAGGCCUAACACAUGCAAGUCGAGCGAGUGGCGGACGGGUGAGUAAUGUAUGGGGAUCUGCCUGAUAGAGGGGGAUAACUACUGGAAACGGUGGCUAAUACCGCAUACCAUCGGAUGUACCCAUAUGGGAUUGGCUAGUAGGUGGGGUAACGGCUCACCUAGGCGACGAUCUCUAGCUGGUCUGCGAGGAGGAUCAGACAAACUGGGACUGAGACACGGCCCAGACGCCUACGGGAGGAAGCAGUGGGGAAUAUUGCACAAUGGGCGCAAGCCUGAUGCAGCCAUGCCGCGUGUAUGAAGAAGGCCUUAGGGUUGGAAAGUACUUUCAGCGGGGAGGCGUUACCCGCAGAAGAAGCACCGGCUAACUCCGUGCCAGCAGCCGCGGUAAUAC